CAGACAUAUAAAGUGGCUUCUCCGGAUACACCAUUACAGAAUGGAACAGUCAUAGGCUAGUUGUAAGUUAACGCUUCACCAGGGAAAGAUGCGUAGCGACCUGAGAGGGGUGAUCGGCAACACUUGGAACUGAGAACACGCCCAGACUCUACGGAAGCAGCAGUAGGGAAUCUCGCAAUGACGAAGUCGACGAGCAACGCGCCUGAGUGAUGAAGGUUUUCGAUCGUAAGCUCUGUUGUAGGGAAGAACAAGUGCCGUUCAAAUAGGGCGGCACCUUGACGGUACCUAACCAGAAAGCCACGGCUAACUACGUGCCAGCAGCCGCGGUAAUACGUAGGUGGCAAGCGUUGUCCAGAAUUAUUGGGCGUAAAGGGCUCGCAGGCGGUUUCUUAAGUCUGAUGUGAAAGCCCCCGGCUCAACCGGGGAGGGUCAUUGGAAACUGGGGAACUUGAGUGCAGAAGAGGAGAGUGGAAUUCCACGUGUAGCGGUGAAAUGCGUAGAGAUGUGGAGGAACACCAGUGGCGAAGGCGACUCUCUGGUCUGUAACUGACGCUGAGGAGCGAAAGCGUGGGGAGCGAACAGGAUUAGAUACCCUGGUAGUCCACGCCGUAAACGAUGAGUGCUAAGUGUUAGGGGGUUUCCGCCCCUUAGUGCUGCAGCUAACGCAUUAAGCACUCCGCCUGGGGAGUACGGUCGCAAGACUGAAACUCAAAGGAAUUGACGGGGGCCCGCACAAGCGGUGGAGCAUGUGGUUUAAUUCGAAGCAACGCGAAGAACCUUACCAGGUCUUGACAUCCUCUGACAAUCCUAGAGAUAGGACGUCCCCUUCGGGGGCAGAGUGACAGGUGGUGCAUGGUUGUCGUCAGCUCGUGUCGUGAGAUGUUGGGUUAAGUCCCGCAACGAGCGCAACCCUUGAUCUUAGUUGCCAGCAUUCAGUUGGGCACUCUAAGGUGACUGCCGGUGACAAACCGGAGGAAGGUGGGGAUGACGUCAAAUCAUCAUGCCCCUUAUGACCUGGGCUACACACGUGCUACAAUGGACAGAACAAAGGGCAGCGAAACCGCGAGGUUAAGCCAAUCCCACAAAUCUGUUCUCAGUUCGGAUCGCAGUCUGCAACUCGACUGCGUGAAGCUGGAAUCGCUAGUAAUCGCGGAUCAGCAUGCCGCGGUGAAUACGUUCCCGGGCCUUGUACACACCGCCCGUCACACCACGAGAGUUUGUAACACCCGAAGUCGGUGAGGUAACCUUUAGGAGCCAGCCGCCGAAGGUGCACCAG
rnacentral:rRNA from 1 species